rnacentral:lncRNA from 1 species
UUAGUAUGUAUUCAAUUAAAAUAUGUGUAUGUGUUUUUUAAGGAGUAUACAACUUUUUUGCUAUAUGAUUUUAGUAUAUAAUGUUGCAAGAUAACUUGUGUGUAUAAAUGAAGUGGUGACUUGUCUUGGUUAGAGAACUUGUUGAACAAGUUAUAGGAGUAGAUGAGUUUUUUUAUCUAGUAACUGUUGUCACAUAUCAUCUGAAUUGGAAUAGUUAGCUAGGCUACUUAAUUACUACAAAUUAACAAUUUUAAUCUUGUAACUGUUUUGCGUGUGCAUUUGACACCUAUCAUUUCUUUAACACUAGUUUUCAUUUUCAGCGCAUACUCUCUCACCUCCGUUCAUCUUUCUCUCCGGCUCCUGNGUAUGUUUAUUGUGUUGGCAUUUAACGUGCUAUGGCACUUUAAGAUAUUGAUUCAUAAUUUGUAUACAUUCCCCAAAUAAUAUUAUAAUGAAAUGAAUGAGAUAACUUCUUAUUUGAAUGAGAUCAACAUGACUUUCACCUAUUAAUAUAUAAUUUAUUGAAAAGAUUGAGUUGUCUAAAUUUCUCCAAGUGCAAUGUAACAACUUAAUUCUAACAGUUAUCUUACUUAUCUAGCUUGAAGAGUUAAGUAGAAUUAGUAGAAAGAGAUUUUGCUUUUAGGUGCAGUUUGAUAUAUUAGAUACUUUGGGAUGUCUAUUAUACAGUUAGUAUGUAUUCAAUUAAAAUAUGUGUGUUUUUUAAGGAGUAUACAACUUUUUUGCUAUAUGAUUUUAGUAUAUAAUGUUGCAAGACAACUUGUGUGUAUAAAUGAAGUGGUGACUUGUCUUGGUUAGAGAACUUGUUGAACAAGUUACAGGAGUAGAAGAGUUUUUUUAUCUAGUAACUGUUUUAUCACAUAUCAUCUGAAUUGGAAUAGUUAGCUAGGCUACUUAAUUACUACAAAUUAACAAUUUUGAUCUUGUAACUGUUUUGCGUGUGCAUUUGACACCUAUCAUUUCUUUAACACUAGUUUUCAUUUUCA